rnacentral:rRNA from 1 species
GAUGAACGCUGGCGGCGUGCCUAAUACAUGCAAGUCGAGCGAACGGACGCGAAGCUUGCUUCGCUGUUGUUGGCGGCGGACGGGUGAGUCACACGUGUAUAACCUACCUAUAAGACUGGGAUAACUUCGGGAAACCGUAGCUAACACCGGAUAAUAUCUUGAACCGCAUGGUUCAAAAGUGAAAGACGGUCUCGCUGUCUCUUAUAGAUGGAUCCGCGCUGGAUUAGCUAGUUGGUAAGGUAACGGCUUACCAAGGCAACUAUGCAUGGCCGACGUGAGAGAGUGAUCGGCCACACUAGAGCUGAGACGCGGUCCAGGCGCCUACGGGAGGCCGCAGUAGGGAAUCUGCCGCAGUGGGCGGAAGCAUGACGGAGCAGGGGCACGUGAGUGAUGAAGGUGUUCGGAUCGUAAAGCUGUGUUAUUGGGGAAAAACAGAUGUGUAAGUAACUGUGCAGAGCUUGACGGUACCUAAUCAGAAAGCCACGGCUAACUACGUG